AUUGAACGCUGGCGGCAGGCCUAACACAUGCAAGUCGAGCGGCAGCGGGAAAGUAGCUUGCUACUUUUGCCGGCGAGCGGCGGACGGGUGAGUAAUGCCUGGGAAAUUGCCCAGUCGAGGGGGAUAACAGUUGGAAACGACUGCUAAUACCGCAUACGCCCUACGGGGGAAAGCAGGGGACCUUCGGGCCUUGCGCGAUUGGAUAUGCCCAGGUGGGAUUAGCUAGUUGGUGAGGUAAUGGCUCACCAAGGCGACGAUCCCUAGCUGGUCUGAGAGGAUGAGCCGCCACACUGGAACUGAGACACGGUCCAGACUCCUACGGGAGGCAGCAGUGGGGAAUAUUGCACAAUGGGGGAAACCCUGAUGCAGCCAUGCCGCGUGUGUGAAGAAGGGCUUCGGGUUGUAAAGCACUUUCAGCGAGGAGGAAAGGUUGAUGCCUAAUACGUAUCAACUGUGACGUUACUCGCAGAAGAAGCACCGGCUAACUCCGUGCCAGCAGCCGCCGUAA
rnacentral:rRNA from 1 species